rnacentral:rRNA from 1 species
CGGGCAUAAGUAUAUUACCGAAGCUAUGGACUCCAAUGGAGUGGUAGGGGAGCAUUCUAUCUGCGCAGAAUGUGGUCUGCGAGGAUUGCUGGAGCGGAUAGAAAAGAAAAUGUAGGCAUAAGUAACGAUAAUGCGGGCGAGAAACCCGCACACCGAAAGACUAAGGUUUCCUCAGCUAUGCUAAUCAGCUGAGGGUUAGUCGGGACCUAACGCGAACCCGAAAGGGGUAGUGGAUGGACAACAGAUUAAUAUUUCUGUACCUGCUCACAUUAAAAGUGACGGAGGCGAAAAGUUAGUGCGCACUGACGGAAUAGUGCGUUGAAGGGAGU